UCCAGACUCCUACGGGAGGCAGCAGUGGGGAAUAUUGCACAAUGGGGGAAACCCUGAUGCAGCGACGCCGCGUGAGCGAGGAAGUAUUUCGGUAUGUAAAGCUCUGUCAGCAGGGAAGAAGAAUGACGGUACCUGAAGAAGAAGCACCGGCUAAAUACGUGCCAGCAGCCGCAGUAAUACGUAUGGUGCAAGCGUUAUCCGGAUUUACUGGGUGUAAAGGGAGCGCAGGCGGUUCUGCAAGUCUGAUGUGAAAGCCCGGGGCUCAACCGCGGGACUGCAUUGGAAACUGCGGGACUGGAGUGUCGGAGGGGUAAGCGGAAUUCCUGGUGUAGCGGUGAAAUGCGUAGAUAUCAGGAGGAACACCGGCGGCGAAGGCGGCCUGCUGGACCGUGACUGACGUUGAGGCUCGAGAGCGUGGGGAGCAAACAGGAUUAGAUACCCGUGUAA
rnacentral:rRNA from 1 species